rnacentral:lncRNA from 1 species
UUUUUUUUCCCCAGUAAAUCACUGGAAAGCAGCUGGGUUGCUUUUUUUCCUCAUCGGAGCCCUCCCUAUGAGUUUUUAUCCGCAGAUAACUCUGUCCUCCUGCACCCAAAGCUUUUGGUGUGAUGUCUAGAGGAGUUAUUUUACAGCCAGCAGUGGCAAUGGGUGCACUUUGACACUUUGUCACUGGUGGUGACAUCUCAGAGCCCAGCCCAAGUCCUAACAAAAAUGACAAAUCCCAUCCAGCCCCUCCACCCUGAUGGCACGCAGGUUGGCAGCUGCAGACAUGAACCACCAUGACAUGGGAUAAUGCAACCAGCCACAGCUGGAGGGAUCCGAGAUUUAAUUGGCAAAGCCAGUGCAUCCCAUUAGCACCCCCAAGUCAUGCUGCUCCCCUGGCAGAGGUUUGGUUCAAGCCAGCCCCAAGUCAACAGUGAUUUACGUUUCACUCGCUUUGCGUAUCUUCAGUGGACUUCCUUACUCCUCAGGCAUGGAAUGAAUCUUAAUACAUUGUAAUUACUGUACUCCUGUUGAUGAAACAGUAUGAAAAGCUAUCACGGAGAGCAUUAAUAAAAUGUACAUUAUGAAAAAGAAUUGGGUACCGUCUAAAAUGAAUAAUACACCAGGUUUCACCAUCCACGCCGGCUCAUUACAGGCCUGCCCCUGCAUUUACUAUUAAAAUGCCUCAUCCGAGCUGCUUGUGCUGCAGCUCUGCAUCGCUGUUGGAUGGAGAGCACCAAGAGGGGUUAACCUGGAACCUCUUUCAGUCACUGAUUUUAGUGACGUUUCUGUAUUGCCAAUGUGACCAAAAUGAGCUGAUGGGUUCAUGCAAGUGGAUGAGUGGCAAAGACAUUGAGGCAAGGUAGGAUUGACAUGCACUGCAACAACAGAAUUCAUUGCUGUGCUAUUUUCAAGAGACUGAGCCGGCAGCAUCUCAAUAACUGAAGAGAUCUUCACUGUUUUAUUUAUGUAUAAAUGUUUACUUAGCCACUGAUUUUGUUUAGCAGAAUUUGUUAGCAAAUGGAAAUUGUAAAUGAUAACACGGUGUCUAUUUUUAAGUUUAUAGACUUCCAUCUAUAGUGAAAAUCCAAGAUUUCCAAAGUGCCUUUGUUUACCGGCAAUCAAGAAGCUCUCUUGUAUUUGCUUUCUGGUAAUUGCAAUUAGAGACUGCGAUACGUUGCAGAAAACCCAUUUGACCCUCAUACAGGAGAUCUGAGUGGCAGUGUGCCGAAGUCACCAUCAUGCACCACGGCUUAGAGACACUGACAGGACAAGAGGGAAUGGCCUUAAGUUGUGCUGGAGGAUAUUCAAGUUGGAUAUUAGGAAGAAAUUCUUCUCAAAGCAAAAAUGCAGUGGCACGGGCUGCCCAAGGAGGUGGUGCAGUCACCAUCCCUGGUGGUGUUCAGGAACUGUGGAGAUGUGGCACUGAGGGACGUGGUCAGCGGGCAUGGCGGGGAUGGGCUGGGGUUGGACUGGAUGGUCUUAGCAGUCUUUUCCAACCUUCUAUGAUUGCUGUGGUGCCCCACUGCCAGUUUGGCCGUCUUUGGGGCAUGAGGCAUUCGCUGCACAUUUCCCCUGUGAGCAAACCCCAAUUCCAGAACUGAGAAUCCCAGUUAACCUCAGGUAAUGCAGCAGGUGGCAAUAUGUGGGGAAAUGAAGAGGGGGAGGCUUGGGUGUAUUUAAAGGCACUGCUUCAUUGUCCAGUACAUGGUUAGCCCACGGACUCCCUAACCCAUUAUACCAGAAAGGUGAUGGACAAGGAGCUUCAAUACAUUAUAUUUGGCAGCAUUCAACUCAGCAGAUGCCGCUUAUAAGAAGCACAGUUUAUGCUCCCACAGUGAUGGGACCCCUCUGCCUCCCCACGCUCUGCAGUCUGCAAACCAGAGGGGAUCUAAGUGCCUGGAAAUUAUAGCAGUGGGCAAACGCAGCAGGAACAGCUAAGCCCCAGGAAACUCAUUUCACCAAGGACUAGUAGACAACUUUUGGGAGCAUAAAACUAAGUUUUUUAUUACUAUUCUUGGACAACCUGUAAGCAUGAGUGAUGCAAAACUGAUCAAAACCCAUCAGUACUAACUGAAACAUCAGGGCUACUUCAUGAGUUGUAAGUACGGAAGGCAGCUCUUGGCUUUUUAGCAUCGGGAGUAGGAAAUUAACUGAUUUUGUGACUUUUAUGCUUUAGAAUGGAUAUGAAACCCACUGGUAUCUUCAUUUGCACCGGGGGCUGAUUUGUCCCUGGGGCUGUGGAGCGUACCAAUAGCACUGCAGCUGUGAGAGGUUUUGCAGCUGGUUUGUUAGUCAUCAACUGAAGGCAAUUAGGAGAUGCACCUGGCAGUGGCAUUAAAAAAAAAAAAAAAAAAAAAAAAAAAAAAAUCCCAGCAUACCCUAGGAUUCUUCUGUAUAAAGAUGGCUUUUGGCACCUGGUAGAAGUGUUUACUGAAAGCUGCUUUCACCACUUCUAUCUUGCUGGUAGCUCUGUCCUUACCCUGUAGUAGCAGCAGGUUGGGGACAAGCCCAGGGUGUGCUGAUGCUCUGUGCAGACCCAAGGAACAGAGCUGAUGGUGCUGGCACCAGAUGUGCCACUCCUGGCUGAGCCACAGACUAUCCUGUGGGAUGGUGCUUCAGGUGACUGCAGCUUUUAAGGGAGGAGGAGCCUGCUGGACCCCUCGUUUAUUGAAAUUUGCCCUGCCAAUCCAUAUCUGGAAACAGAAAACUGUAGAAGCCAAAGGGAAACAAUCAAGACGCUGAAAACGUUAAACCACGGGAGCAGACCAGCUGAAGGUGAUAGCAAAUUCUCCUCCACUUCAAGUUUUUGGGAUGAAAUUGAACUCCUCCUGCAAGUACAAUGACCCUGCUCUUGAGAAAACUGUGAGUUUGAAGCGAAGCAAAGAUUUCAAGUUAUUACAAGAAGCAGAACUCAUGGAUCUCUUCUUGACUGUCUGCAAGAUGUUGCCUGAAAGUUGAGAAGGGCUCUCACUCUGUGGAAGAAGAAAUGGGUUCUGACUACAAGUGUGGGAAAACUGAAUGCGUCCACUCGCACCACUAAUGAGAACAGCAUCAAUCAAAACCAUGGCUAACUGGAUUCCCAGUCCAUCGCUAGGCCUUCUUGAGAAUCCUUGUCUUGGCCUGAGUAGAGAGAGCACUUGCAGAACUGGUAGCUGUUUCCUGUUGAUUGUGCUUCGUGAAAUCAGUUCCUAUACAUCUUCAACUGUGCGCUGUCUUUAUCUUGAACUGAAGCAAACAGGAAAGUUUCCCAUUAGAAUGCAACUCCGAUGGACUGGAUAGCUGUGUGCCCACCCUUGAAGCUGUAAGCAUCCUGGACACCCAUUCCAGAAGGAUGUUUUUGUCAGAUGGACAUCGUACUUUCUCUGAUAUUUAUAAGUUUUUACUGCCUCAGAAAUUGAAG